rnacentral:rRNA from 1 species
GAUGAACGCUAGCGACAGGCCUAACACAUGCAAGUCGAGGGGCAGCACAUGAGUAGCAAUACGAUGGUGGCGACCGGCGCACGGGUGAGUAACACGUAUGCAACCUGCCUUCUACUAUGGGAUAACCCGUUGAAAAACGGACUAAUACCGUAUAAUACAGGGGCUCCGCAUGGAGAUAUUUGUUAAAGAUUAAUUGGUAGAAGAUGGGCAUGCGUAUGAUUAGAUAGUUGGUGAGGUAACGGCUCACCAAGUCAACGAUCAUUAGGGGUUCUGAGAGGAAGGUCCCCCACACUGGUACUGAGACACGGACCAGACUCCUACGGGAGGCAGCAGUGAGGAAUAUUGGUCAAUGGACGAGAGUCUGAACCAGCCAAGUCGCGUGAAGGAAGACGGUUCUAUGAAUUGUAAACUUCUUUUGUACAGGAAUAAAGUGGAUUACGUGUAAUCUUUGUAUGUACUGUACGAAUAAGGAUCGGCUAACUCCGUGCCAGC